rnacentral:tRNA from 1 species
GUUGGGGUAGUUUAAUAAAAACUUUUAUUUUACACGUAAAGAAUGGUUGCUUGACCUCCUAAUA